ensembl:snoRNA
UCUGGCAAUGAUGACGCACUUGCCCUCACUGAGAACGUUGUUCGCUAAUGAGAGCUGUUUUCUGUACUCAGCAGAGCUGAGCCAGA